CCCUUAGAUGUUCUGGGCUGCACGCGCGCUACACUGAUGCGAUCAACAAGUUUUUCCUAUGUCGAUAGACACGGGUAAUCUUUUGAACUCGCAUCGUGAUGGGGAUAGAUUAUUGUAAUUAUUAAUCUUCAACGAGGAAUUCCUAGUAGGUGCAAAUCAUCAGUUUGCAUCGAUUACGUCCCUGCCCUUUGUACACACCGCCCGUCGCUGCUACCGAUUGGUUGAUCUGGUGAAUUAUUCGGACUGCCGGCUGAAGGGGUUUCCUCAUCUGCCAGCGGAAAGUCUUGUUAACCCUAUCAACUAGAGGAAGCAGAAGUCGGAACA
rnacentral:rRNA from 1 species